CAGUUCAGUCCAUCAUCACAUGUCUUAAUAGAAAUAUUCUAUAGUACACAAGUAUGGUCAUCUAGAGAAAUAUUGAUGAUAUAUUUCUUGAAGGCUAUCAAGUAAUUUCAUGGUAACUAUCAUCAACAGUUAGGACUGCAGCAUAUUUAAUUUAUUAUUAACCUAGCAUCCAAAACAAAUAUCAAAUUCAGGAAUUAAAAAUCCAAACUGCUUUGAGAUAUAAAUUUUAGAAGACAAAUUAUAGAGUGAUGGCAACUAACCCACAAAAUAGAUAUUAGUCUAAUUGUCAAUAAGUCCUUGAGCCUGAAUGGGCUAUUGACUCAUCGAGAGGACUAAAUGUUUUAGUCAAAUCCAACCAGUUGCUUAAAUAUAUAGAUGACAACCAGUUUUGAAUUAAAGUUAAAUUUUAUGUUUUGGUUUUCAAAGCCGGCACUUUUCACUACUAGUAGGAUAUAACUCAUAGCCUAUUAGUAGCUCAUCCAAUCAGAACAUCAUAKUUAUGAUAGACCAUUAGUUGGAUUUGACUAAUACACUUUAGUAGUAUCUGAUUCCACUGUUUUCUUGCAUUUUUUGUAUCAAUUAUUAGACAUUCCAGGAAUCAGAUUUCAUUGCACAGGUUAAAUGCUAUCACUCCACUAAAAUAUAGUAAUAUUGGAAUAUUAAUUCCUGAUUUUAGGGGUUCACUUUGCAGCAGGUCAAUCUUUAUAUGUAGAUUUAGUUUUUCAAGUUCGGGUCAUCCUUCACGACUUUGCAAGAUGUGAUCCUAUUGGAGGGCACACAUGUGUAGAACAAUAGAAAACAAUSACCUUUCCACAAGCCUGCCCCUAMACCUAACCAAUCACAGAGGACGUUGCAAAUUCAUGAAGCCUAACCCUCAAGUUCAUAAGUUAUAAUUACUUUGAGUUUAAAAUUAUCACUUUUCUUUAAUUUUUUGUAAACUUUAUAUUUUAAUUUCCACCAAACAAAAGGGAGAAUUUCUUCUUUUACAUGGAAAAACCCCUUACAAGUCUGAUGUGCCCUAAAAGAAUUUAGAUUUGUUUAAUUGUAAGAGUCUUAAAUAAUAAAAAUAUCUUAUUAAUA